rnacentral:rRNA from 1 species
UACGUAGGGGGGCAAGCGUUGUCCGGAAUCAUUGGGCGUAAAGCGCGUGUAGGCGGCUUCACAGGUCCGCUGUGAAAACUCGAGGCUCAACCUCGAGCUGUCGGUGGAAACCGUGUGGCUAGAGUCCGGAAGAGGAGAGUGGAAUUCCCAGUGUAGAGGUGAAAUUCGUAGAUAUUGGGAAGAACACCGGUGGCGAAGGCGGCUCUCUGGACCGAGACUGACGCUGAGGCGCGAAAGCGUGGGGAGCAAACAGG